CUCGAGUAUAAACGCUAAGUUACUCUGCACAGACCAGAUCAAUUGAGUUGAACUUAGCUUGUAUCACAAGUGGGCCCAAUGAAAUAUAAGCUCCUCUCUCAAUAUUCCAUAUCAUUCUGCAUUAAUUGGGAUUCAGGGUGAGGAUCUGAUUAAAAAAAAUAUAUGUCGAUCGAAAAUCAAACCAAACAAAUCUACCCCUUGAAAACGUUGAACAUGGACUAACUAGCGACGUGCGUUUUAGACUCGAGACUAGCGCUAGCGACCCCUAGAAUCCAGGAGAAACCAGGAGCCUGCAUGACUGCGUAAUAUUGCACCACUCAGCGGAGUAACUAACCGACGUAGGUUUUAAGGAGGAGCGGGGACCCUCUUUCAUCCCCCUCCUCCUGUUUCUGCAAUCCUUACCACGUCGGCGAACAGAGCGGAGGAGAGGGGAGAGGAUGGGAUGGACUGGUGUUAGAAAAGAUAGUCAAGGCUCACCGUUCCUAAAAUGGCUUCUGUCCUAAACAACAUCCAGUAUGAGAUAAUAAACAGACAGAUAGACAGAUAUACUGAUAUGCAGAUAUAAAUAAAUAAAUACAACCUAUUUCGGGACCC
rnacentral:sRNA from 1 species